UGACUCCGAUUUCAUACUGCAAUGCUGUGUGCUGCUGCCUCUGCAAAACUUUGUAGAGGUUUCAUAUAUUUUCAUGACAGAAGUGAAAUGCUUGAGUUCACUGAACUGAAUAUGUCUUCUCUUGUUAAUAACAAGUUAUAUAACACAUGAACAAGAAAUUUGGUGAGACAUUUAAUAUGAUGAUGAACUGAUAACACUUGCAUUAACCCACAUAUGAAUGGAGGUGGCUUGGAACUGUGUUGGCACCUGCAUAGGUAAGCAGAAGAGGAUAAGAUGAAAGAACAGCACCAGAGAAAAAGGGCUUAUACUAAAAUGAUGGUGGUGGUGGAUCCAUGACACUGGUGAGACCAUCCCACGGUUCUUGCCCACCCUCCUCUCUCUUCAUGUUCAGUCUAGCUGAGAGCACAUACAGUUGGAAUUGAGAGAGAGAGAGAGGGAGCGAGAGGCGGUGUCGUGGCUCAGUUAUCAAACACCUCUUAAAGGCCACAUUGGUACCAAAAUUUGGUUUACCGACACUGCUUGCUCUUCCCAAGGAGACCGCCCCUACUCUGGAGCAGAAUCCCAGAGAGAGAGAGAGAGAGAGAGAGAGAGCGAGAGAGAAAGAUUGCGACUUUGUCAUCGGGGCGUACGGUUUCGUCAUCUCUUCUCUUGGUUCCUUCCGAGGAAUCCAUGACGGUCCUGCUGUCGCGCUCUCUCACUCUCGUCUUCGUAGUGGAUAUGUUUCUCUGCUGAUGGUUUUCUGUCAAAAGUAGGUGAGUUUGUAGGUAAUUGAUGCAAGAGAUCGGAAUUUUGUUGCUUGUUUUGAGGCGCAAGAUUUGGUUGCUAGACUAGCUAACUUCGUGAAUGGUAUGGUUGUCGGUGCUGAAUUAUCAGAGUAUUUCGUGGAUUUUCUUUGAUAAAUUCUAGCCGAUUUCUUCAUCGCCAUUGUGCUCAAAUUGGCGCCUUUUCGGUAAUGCCACUCUAAAGUUCAGAUCUUUACCGGUUUUAUGUGGAGAAAAUUAUCCUUCGGCCUCGCUUCUCCUCCUUAUCUGAAGAUUGUUCUGGAAAAGCAACGGAACUCGUGAGAUUUGGUUACGAAGCACUUUUCUGAUGUGGAUUUCUACUUGCAAGCCCGUGGGUGAUCUCUUUUCCCCCUAUCUGAGCCUCCCAAAAGUCCCCCCCGAUCUGGUUUACUGAAACUUUCCCGAGAAAUAGGUCCUUCUUUGCAUUCCGUUGACAGUGUCGUCGAAGAAAUCAUGCGACUUCACCGAUCUCUGCCGGUAAGACCAGGCAUAAAUGAGGUCGAAGCUGCCAUGGCGUUCGUUCACAACGUGGACAAGGAGGAGCUGGCCCGCAUCGAUGCCAUCCUGAAGCAGAACAAGGGAUCCGAGGCCCCCGAAGAGCUCUUCUUUGUCCUGCAAGAGAUGUAGAAGAAUGCAGUGUACGACCAGAGCAAAGAACAGAAGAGGGAAGCUCCUAAGCUGCUUGAUCUGGAAAACAUCCAUGCCCUGUUUGAUGAAUUGAUCCAAAGAGCAUCCAGCUGUCUCCCUUCAAGCUCAAGUGCAUCAGCUCCAUCGAUCCCUACGAGUUCAGUUACAGUAAGCAUGGCCGAUUCUAACACUCCGACAAGUUAUUCAAGUAGUGCUUCAUCUGUCUUACACUCAGAAAAUGGGGUUAAGAGGAACACUGAUUGGGUGUCAAGAGAUAAUAGUUUCCUAAAAAUGCCAAGGUCAGCAUGUCGAUGGAAUCGUCGGAACACCCACCCGUCCAGAAGAUUGAUCCCGAAUUCAACAACUAGGCAAGAAGUCACUUCUGGGGAAGAAAGUGGAAAAUUGAGCCUUAUUAAACCAGCUAGCUUGAUUGAAGUCUCUGCAAAGAAGGGCACUCGUGACCUCACUCGUCAGAAUAAGCUGAUGGAUCAAAUAGACUGGUUACCUGAUUCAGUUGGGAAGCUCUCCGAUCUGGUUACUCUUGAUCUUUCAGAAAACUGAAUUGUCGCCUUACCUACGAUGAUUGGUACUCUUUCUUCUUUAACAAAAUUGGACCUUCACUCAAAUAGGAUUGUUCAACUUCCUGACUCUAUUGGGGAUCUCUACAACCUGCUAUAUCUAGAUCCGAGGGGAAAUCAGUUGACACCAUUGCCAUCUUGUGGAACUUGAAUUGAGCUCAAACCAGCUUUCCUCGCUGCCUGAUGCAAUUGGGAAUCUCCUAAGAUUGACAAAACUAAAUGUUGAAACAAAUGAAUUUGAGGAGUUACCUCACACUAUUGGUAACUGCAUUGCUCUUGUUGAGCUUCAAGCUGAUUAUAAUUGCCUGAAAGGCCUUCCAGAAGCUGUUGGCAGACUCGAAUCUUUGGAGGUUCUCACUGUUCGCUACAAGCCUACAACAAUAUCAAAGGACUUCCAACAACAAUGGCAUCUUUAUCAAAGAUGAAGGAGCUUGAUGUUAGUUUUAAUGAGCUCGAAUCAAUUCCUGAGACCUUGUGCCUUGCAACUUCUCUGAUCAAGCUAAGCGUAGGAAAUAAUUUUGCUGAUUUACAAUCGCUCCCAUGCUCCAUUGGCAAUCUUGAGUUGCUCGAGGAGUUAGAUAUCAGCAACAACCAAAUUAGGGUCCUUCCUGACUCUUUUGAGAUGUUAUCGCAUCUCCGUGUGCUUCAUACAGAAGAGAACCUCUUGGAAGUGCCACCAAGACAUAGCAGAAAUGGGUGCACAAGCCAUUGUGCAAUACAUGGUCGAACUUGUUGCGAAAAGGGAUGUUAAGGUGCGACCAUUGAAGUCUAAGAUGAGUUGAGCUCAAUUUUGCUUUUUCUCAAGGCUUAACAUAAGGAAACAUGAUAGCUUCGACUAUGUGAACUGAUUAUAGACUUCAGGAAGUGUAUUAUCCAAUGUGGAAUCAUGAUCAUGAUGCACAUCUGCAAAGAGAAUCUUUUCCAGGCUCAUGUAACAAAUGUCUCCAGGAUGCGGUUUCAAUGUCCUUGAAACUUGGUAUAAGGAGAGGGUCCUGCUGCCUUCACAUGUAACCCUUAUCAUCUACUACUUGUUGCCGCUAUCAGAAAGCAAAGUGCUCCACAGUUCUGAUUCUCUAUAUUUUCUUGUAAUUAUCUCUCUUCAGAUUGUAGUGCAGAUUUGCCAUUUGGUAGAACCCAACUCACUAAUCUGUUCUUUCA